GCGGCGUGGUUUAGGCAUGCAAGUCGAGCGGGAUCCGGAUUCUUCAAGGCUUCGGCCAAGAAGUUUCCGGUGAGAGCGGCAAACGGGUGAGUAACACGUGAGUAACCUGCCCUCAGGAGGGGGAUAGCCCACCGAAAGGUGGAUUAAUACCGCAUGUGGCGGUGCUUCGAAUGAAGCACUUGCUAAAGCUGGGGAUCCUACGGGACCUGGCGCUUGAGGAGGGGCUCGCGGCCUAUCAGCUUGUUGGUGAGGUAAUGGCUCACCAAGGCUUUGACGGGUAGCUGGUCUGAGAGGACGAUCAGCCACACUGGAACUGAGACACGGUCCAGACACCUACGGGUGGCUGCAGUUACGAAUCAUUCACAAUGGGCGAAAGCCUGAUGAUGCGACGCCGCGUGGGGGAUGACGGCCUUCGGGUUGUAAACCCCUGUCACCAGGGACUAACUCCUGAUUAUUAAUAGUGAUCAGGCUGAAUUAACCUGGAGAGGAAGCAGUGGCUAACUCCGUGCCAGCAGCCGCGGUAAUACGGAGACUGCGAGCGUUACUCGGAUUCACUGGGCGUAAAGGGUGCGUAGGCGGACGGAUAUGUCGGGUGUGAAAUCUCGAGGCUUAACCUCGAAACUGCGCUCGAAACUAUCCGACUAGAGACUCGGAGAGGGUAGCGGAAUUCUCGGUGUAGCGGUGAAAUGCGUAGAUAUCGAGAGGAACACCAAAGGCGAAGGCAGCUACCUGGACGAGUUCUGACGCUGAGGUACGAAAGCAUGGGUAGCGAAAGGGAUUAGAUACCCCUGUAGUCCAUGCCGUAAACUUUGCACACUAGGCUUUGGGAGAUUCGACCCNCUCAGAAC
rnacentral:rRNA from 1 species